CCUACGGGAGGCAGCAGUCGGGAAUCUUCCACAAUGGGCGAAAGCCUGAUGGAGCGACGCCGCGUGAGUGAUGAAGGUCUUCGGAUCGUAAAGCUCUGUUACCAGGGACGAAACAAGACGGUACCUGGGAAGAAAGCCACGGCUAACUACGUGCCAGCAGCCGCGGUAAUACGUAGGUGGCGAGCGUUGUCCGGAAUUAUUGGGCGUAAAGGGCGCGUAGGCGGUCAUCUAAGUCAGGUGUGAAAGCCCCCGGCUCAACUGGGGAGGGUCACUUGAUACUGGAUGACUUGAGUGCGGGAGAGGGAAGUGGAAUUCCAUGUGUAGCGGUGAAAUGCGUAGAUAUAUGGAGGAACACCAGUGGCGAAGGCGGCUUCCUGGACCGUAACUGACGCUGAGGCGCGAAAGCUGGGGGAGUGAACGGGAUUAGAUACCCCGGUAAUCCCAGCCGUAAACGAUGGAUGCUAGGUGUAGAGGGUAUCGACCCCUUCUGUGCCGCAGUUAACACAAUAAGCAUCCCGCCUGGGGAGUACGGCCGCAAGGUUGAAACUCAAAGGAAUUGACGG
rnacentral:rRNA from 1 species